UUAAAGGAGGCUAAAUGUGAUAACGGUUGAGUUCUAGUUCUAUAGGAUUUCAGAUACUACCUGUAGAAGCAGCUUCUCCAGUUCAGUUAUUAAUGGGCACGUAAACAAGGACUUUACUUUCCACACGAACGACUUGACCUGAAUGAACACUAGGAUUACAAAUGCCGGACAAAAGGCAAAGGAACAAAAAUGUUACUUUGAAAGACAGACAAAAAACAAUGUUCAGGCUGACAGCUCAGCAGGCAGCCCAUAAGGCAAGUGACAACAACAACUGCACACUAGCAAGUGCCAUUUUACCUCCAGGAUAGAACCACAAGUCUGUAGUGCAGAAAUGAACAGACAGACAGAAAUCAUUGAGAUUUACUUGAAAUAUCAGAGAUGUGACAGGCCACCUGCUGGCACAGGAGAAAAAGGUAAAAACGAUUCCUCAAGGAAUAGGUAAGGGGGAAAAGAAUAUGUAUUCAUGCCAGAAGAAUUCCUGAAUAUAUUUGCAUCACCACGGUUACCAAAUGGAAUUAUUACAGACACAAACCUCACCAAGGCUUCCAAGUCCAAGUAGCAGCUGGUUGAAACCACAACAUAAUCAUCCUGGACUCAGCUGCUACGGCUAGCAAGUUGUGGAAUAGAAUCAAGGUCCCACGCACUCCUUCCAAUUUGUUCAGGAAAAAGGAGAAUUAACCCAAAGAGACUACUCUUCCACUCUACGCAUGCUGUGAUCCACAGUAUAGAGAUGGUCUUUUAUUUCUGGAAAUCAGUGAUGUGCAGGAGGGGCCUGAAAAAUUCUGCCUCCAAACUUAAGGUAAUGUUGGAGUGAUGGCUUUUACUGCCAAUAAAGUCAGCUCAUAGAAUGAA